AUUGAACGCUGGCGGAAUGCUUUACACAUGCAAGUCGAGCGGCAGCGCGGGGGCAACCCUGGCGGCGAGCGGCGAACGGGUGAGUAAUGUAUCGGAACGUACCCAGUCGUGGGGGAUAACUAUCCGAAAGGAUAGCUAAUACCGCAUACGACCUGAGGGUGAAAGCGGGGGACCGAAAGGCCUCGCGCGAUUGGAGCGGCCGAUAUCGGAUUAGCUAGUUGGUGAGGUAAAGGCUCACCAAGGCGACGAUCCGUAGCGGGUCUGAGAGGACGGCCCGCCACACUGGGACUGAGACACGGCCCAGACUCCUACGGGAGGCAGCAGUGGGGAAUUUUGGGACAAUGGGGGCAACCCUGAUCCAGCCAUUCCGCGUGAGUGAAGAAGGCCUUCGGUUGUAAGA
rnacentral:rRNA from 1 species